GGCAGAGUAGGUAUCAUGCGUAAAGUGCUAAGAGAUGGGAUGUUGCUCUUAGACGAAGGGAAGUCACCUGCGAUAUGAUAUCGCAUCCGCUGUC
rnacentral:ncRNA from 1 species